UGAGGAAUAUUGGACAAUGGGCGAGAGCCUGAUCCAGCCAUGCCGCGUGCAGGAAGACUGCCCUAUGGGUUGUAAACUGCUUUUAUACAGGAAGAAAAAGGUGUACGUGUGCGCUGUUGACGGUACUGUAUGAAUAAGAAUCGGCUAACUCCGUGCCAGCAGCCGCGGUAAUACGGAGGAUUCAAGCGUUAUCCGGAAUCAUUGGGUUUAAAGGGUCCGUAGGCGGAAUGAUAAGUCAGUGGUGAAAGUUUGUGGCUCAACCAUAAAAUUGCCAUUGAUACUGUUGUUCUUGAGUUAUUAUGAAGUGGUUAGAAUGUGUAGUGUAGCGGUGAAAUGCAUAGAUAUUACACAGAAUACCAAUUGCGAAGGCAGAUCACUAAUAAUAUACUGACGCUGAUGGACGAAAGCGUAGGUAGCGAACAGG
rnacentral:rRNA from 1 species